rnacentral:misc_RNA from 1 species
CCUCCUUUCUAAGGAGCACCACGAAAACGCCCCAACUGGUGGGGCGUAGGCCGUGAGGGGUUCUUGUCUGUAGUGGGCGAGAGCCGGGUGCAUGACAACAAAGUUGGCCACCAACACACUGUUGGGUCCUGAGGCAACACUCGGACUUGUUCCAGGUGUUGUCCCACCGCCUUGGUGGUGGGGUGUGGUGUUUGAGAACUGGAUAGUGGUUGCGAGCAUA